GCGAAGCCGCGAGGUGGAGCUAAUCCCAUAAAACUAUUCUCAGUUCGGAUUGUAGGCUGCAACUCGCCUACAUGAAGCCGGAAUCGCUAGUAAUCGUGGAUCAGCAUGCCACGGUGAAUACGUUCCCGGGCCUUGUACACACCGCCCGUCACACCACGAGAGUUUGUAACACCCGAAGUCGGUAGGGUAACCUUUAUGGAGCCAGCCGCCGAAGGUGGGACAGAUAAUUGGGGUGAAGUCGUAACAAGGUAGCCGUAUCGGAAGGUGCGGCUGGAUCACCUCCUUUCUAAGGAA
rnacentral:rRNA from 1 species